UACGUAGGGUGCGAGCGUUGUCCGGAAUUAUUGGGCGUAAAGGGCUCGUAGGCGGUUUUGUCGCGUCGGGAGUGAAAACUCAGGGCUUAACCCUGAGCCUGCUUCCGAUACGGGCAGACUAGAGGUAUGCAGGGGAGAAUGGAAUUCCUGGUGUAGCGGUGAAAUGCGCAGAUAUCAGGAGGAACACCGGUGGCGAAGGCGGUUCUCUGGGCAUUACCUGACGCUGAGGAGCGAAAGUGUGGGGAGCGAACAGG
rnacentral:rRNA from 1 species